rnacentral:snRNA from 1 species
AGAUGUGGGGGUGAUCUGGUUGUGACAUCUGUCACCUCAUUGAUUGCCAGGGCUGAUUCUACUGAUCUAGCUGGCUAGGUGGGUGUCCCCUUCCUCCCUGAAUGUUCCACGUUCAUCCCUUCCAAAGCUACAUGCUUGGUCGAAGAGGACAGCCACCACUGACAGAGAACCGUUCUUUGUCAAGAGUGUACGAGUAGCUGCGCUCCCCUGCUAAAACCUCCAAACAAGCUCUCAACUCCUUCCUCUUCUAACCCUCAGAACAGAAUUUUCCCGAGUAUCAAUAAUUCCUCCACAUGAAAUAUAU